GACCCGGUAGCUCAGUUGGUAGAGCAACGGACUUUUAAUCCGUAGGUCGCGGGUUCGAUCCCCGCCCGGGUCA
rfam:Gemmatimonadetes bacterium 13_1_40CM_69_22 13_1_40cm_scaffold_241, whole genome shotgun sequence.